GGGGCUGUGGCUCAGUGGUAGAGCAUCUGUUUGGAAUGCAGAAGGUCCUAGGUUCAAUCCCCGGCAUCUCCA